rnacentral:rRNA from 1 species
GACGAACCGUGCGAACGUUAUUCGGAAUCACUGGGCUUAAAGCGCGUGUAGGCGGGCCGCCCCGUCGGCUGCUGAAAUCCCCCGGCUCAACCGGGGAAGUGGCACCGAUACGAGCGGCCUCGAGGGGGGUAGGGGGGUCUGGAACUUCCGGUGGAGCGGUGAAAUGCGUAGAUAUCUGGAGGAACACCGGUGGCGAAGGCGACAUCCUGGACCGGUAUUGACGCUGAGGCGCGAAAGCCAGGGGAGCAAACGGG